AAAGCUGAGCUGAAAGCCGCACACGAAAGGCGCGGAAAUGCGGUGAGCCAAGUAGUAAAAAGUAAAUAAAAAGUAGUAAAAACUACGACUAUCCCGUUCGCAAUGCAAACCACCAACAAGGAAUUCAUCAAACGCCGCAAGGACUUCAAGCGUCGAUGGCGCAACAGCACGAUAGCUCAGGAAGAAAUUCGAAGGAGAGAGAGUGGGUUGAGUAGGCAGUUGGCCUCCCUACUGUUGUUGUUGCUCUUGGGAGCGGCAACAGGAGCGGAAACAGUGGGGCGUGUGAGGAGCGUCUGACAACAUUGCAAAUGGCAAAAGGCUAGACAAUAUGACCAGCGAACAGUGGUCGAAACCAUACAAUAAAUCUGGACCUAAUAUAUUAAUAGCCAGGUUGACUUCAAGAUUUAUUAUCCCAUUCUUUCAUUUAUAAAUAUUUCUAAAAGCUCCACAAAAUUGCAAAAGCUCUGCUUAAAACAUAUGCAGUGUAAAUAUUGAGGCCAACAGAAAACUGGGAUUAGCAAAUAAGUGAAUCAUACAUAAUUUAUCGGCUCUCAAUAAAUGUACAAAUUUUUAGU